UACGAAGGGGGCUAGCGUUGUCCGGAAUCAUUGGGCGUAAAGCGCGUGUAGGCGGUCCGGUAAGUCCGCUGUGAAAGUCGAGGGCUCAACCCUCGAAUGCCGGUGGAUACUGUCGGGCUAGAGUGCGGAAGAGGCGAGUGGAAUUCCUGGUGUAGCGGUGAAAUGCGCAGAUAUCAGGAGGAACACCUAUUGCGAAGGCAGCUCGCUGGGACGUUACUGACGCUGAGACGCGAAAGCGUGGGGAGCAAACAGG
rnacentral:rRNA from 1 species